UACGUAGGGGGCAAGCGUUGUCCGGAAUUAUUGGGCGUAAAGAGCGCGUAGGCGGUCCGAUAAGUCGGCUGUGAAAGUCAAGGGCUCAACCCUUGAAAGCCGGCCGAUACUGCCGGACUAGAGUUCGGAAGAGGCGAGUGGAAUUCCCGGUGUAGCGGUGAAAUGCGCAGAUAUCGGGAGGAACACCUAUGGCGAAGGCAGCUCGCUGGGACGUUACUGACGCUGAGACGCGAAAGCGUGGGGAGCAAACAGG
rnacentral:rRNA from 1 species